AUAUAGCUUUAUUUUUCUUUUACAUAGAAAAUUUAUUUUUAUAUU
rnacentral:tRNA from 1 species